CAGUAGCCACGGUAAUACGGAGGGGGCUAGCGUUGUUCGGAAUUACUGGGCGUAAAGCGCACGUAGGCGGCUUGGUAAGUUAGAGGUGAAAGCCUGGAGCUCAACUCCAGAAUUGCCUUUAAGACUGCCGAGCUAGCAGGUGAGAGAGGUAAGUGGAAUUCCGAGUGUAGAGGUGAAAUUCGUAGAUAUUCGGAAGAACACCAGUGGCGAAGGCGGCUUACUGGCUCAUACUGGACGCUGAGGUGCGAAAGCGUGGGGAGCAAACAGGAUUAGAUACCCGCGUAGUCCCUGUCUCUUAUAU
rnacentral:rRNA from 1 species